rnacentral:lncRNA from 1 species
GUCAAGAACAACAACGGAAAUAACGCAAAUAACGGAAAUACCGGAAAUAACCUCCGAAAGACAGAAACAUACAAAAAAAAAUUAACUGACAGUUCAAGAACAACAACGGAAAUAACGGAAAUAAUGGAAAUAACGGAAAUACCCUCCUCAGAGACAGAAACUUACGGCUGAAAAUUAACUGACAGGUCAAGAACAACAACGGAAAUAACUGAAAUAACAGAAAUAACCUCCGAAAGACAGAAACAUACGGCAGAAAAAUAGGUGACAGGUCUAGAACAACAACGGAAAUAACGGAAAUAACGGAAAUGAUGGAAAUAACGAAAAUAACAAAAAUAACGGAAAGAAUGGAAAGAACGGAAAGAACAGAAAGUAUAGAAAGAACAAAAAAUACGGAAAUAAUAACGGAAAUAACGGAAAUGAACUCCAUAGGGACAGAAACAUACAGCAGAAAAUUAGGUGACAGGUCAAGAAUACCAACGGAAAGAACGGAAAGAACCUCCAGAGAGACAGAAACAUACGGCAGAAAAUUAGGUGACAGGUCAAGAACAACAAAGGAAAAAACUGAAAUAACGGAAAUAACAGAAAUAACGGAAAUAACGGAAAUAACCUCUGAAAAACAGAAACAUACGGCAGAAAUUUAGGUGACAGGUCAAGAACAAGCACGGAAAGAACGGAAAGAACGGAUAGAACCUCCAGAGAGACAGAAACAUACGGCAGAAAAUUAGGUGACAGGUCAAGAACAACAACGGAAAUAACGGAAAGAACGGAAAGAACGGAAAUAACCACCGAAAAACAGAAACAUACGGCCGAAAAUUAGGAGACAGGUCUAGAACAACAACGGAAAUAACGGAAAGAAUGGAAAGAAUGGAAAUAACCACCGAAAAACAGAAACAUACGGCCGAAAAUUAGGAGACAGGUCUAGAACAACAACGGAAAUAACAGAAAUAACGGAAAUAACAAAAAUAACAGAAAUAACGAAAAGAACGGAAAGAACAGAAAGUACGGAAAGAAUAGAAAGAACGGAAA